rnacentral:rRNA from 1 species
UCCGUAGGUGACCUGCGGAAGGAUCAUUACCUAGAGUUUGUAGACUUCGGUCUGCUACCUCUUACCCAUGUCUUUUGAGUACCUUCGUUUCCUCGGCGGGUCCGCCCGCCGAUUGGACAACAUUCAAACCCUUUGCAGUUGCAAUCAGCGUCUGAAAAAACAUAAUAGUUACAACUUUCAACAACGGAUCUCUUGGUUCUGGCAUCGAUGAAGAACGCAGCGAAAUGCGAUAAGUAGUGUGAAUUGCAGAAUUCAGUGAAUCAUCGAAUCUUUGAACGCACAUUGCGCCCCUUGGUAUUCCAUGGGGCAUGCCUGUUCGAGCGUCAUUUGUACCUUCAAGCUCUGCUUGGUGUUGGGUGUUUGUCUCGCCUCUGCGUGUAGACUCGCCUUAAAACAAUUGGCAGCCGGCGUAUUGAUUUCGGAGCGCAGUACAUCUCGCGCUUUGCACUCACAACGACGACGUCCAAAAGUACAUUUUUACACUCUUGACCUCGGAUCAGGUAGGGAUACCCGCUGAACUUAAGCAUAUCAAUAAGCGGAGGA